rnacentral:rRNA from 1 species
AUGGAGCAAUUGGAGAAGAGGAUGGAUGUUGCAGAACAACAAAUCAAAGAGCUGCGUGAAGAUCUUAAUCGAAGAUUUGACCAGCUGGUUGAGAUGAUAAGAAAGGGUGUCCCCCCUGCUACCAAUGAAGUUGAUUCAUCUAAAGAAGAAGAAGAUGUUCAUCAAAGAAGAAUGAGAGGUAAUCUUGGAGCAAGACCGCCACAACAACAUGUUGUUCGACGUGCUUCAAGAAGGCCAAUUUAUGUUGGAAGCUUCUGA